UCUACCCCCUUUAAAGAUUUCAGUUUGUCUUUAAUUGAAUUGCACAGAUUAUAGGCCACAUUAAAGGUGGAAAAAGUACUGAAAU